CAAUAGCGUAUAUUAAAGUUGUUGCGGUUAAAAAGCUCGUAGUUGGAGUUCUGCCAGGUGCCGCCUGUCCGCCCCAGUGGUGAGUACGUGGCGCGCAUUUGGCCCUUUCAAGGGGAGCGUAUCUGCACUUUAUUGUGUGGUGCGGGAUCCUUGACUUUUACUUUGAGGAAAUAGGAGUGUUCCAAGCAGGCUCUCGUCGUGCACAGCUCAGCAUGGAAUAAUAGCAUUGGACCUCGAUUCUAAGCUGUUGGUUGCCAGAAGCGAGGUAAUGAUGAAGAGGGAUAGUUGGGGGCAUUCGUAUUUAACUGUCAGAGGUGAAAUUCUUGGAUUUAUUGAAGACUAACUAAUGCGAAAGCAUUUGCCAAGGAUGUUUUCAUUAA
rnacentral:rRNA from 1 species